rnacentral:rRNA from 1 species
CCUACGGGCGGCAGCAGUGAGGAAUAUUGGUCAAUGGCCGGAAGCCUGAACCAGCCAAGCCGCGUGAAGGACGAAGGUGCCAAGCAUUGUAAACUUCUUUUGUCAAGGGACAAAAACAGGCGCUAGAGCCUGACUGAGGGUACUUGAAGAAAAAGCAUCGGCUAACUCCGUGCCAGCAGCCGCGGUAAUACGGAGGAUGCGAGCGUUAUCCGGAUGGAUUGGGGGUAAAGGGUGCGUAGGCGGGGCGUUAAGUCAGCGGGAAAAGCCCGGGGCUCAACCCCGGCCAGGCGUUUGAACUGGGAGGUGGGGAGUACUGGAGAGGCAGACGGAAUGCGUAGGGUAGCGGGGAAAUGCGUAGAUAGUGGGAAGAACGACAGUGGCGAAGGCAGAG